rnacentral:rRNA from 1 species
CCAGACUCCUACGGGAGGCAGCAGUGGGGAAUAUUGCACAAUGGGGGAAACCCUGAUGCAGCGACGCCGCGUGAGUGAAGAAGUAUCUCGGUACGUAAAGCUCUAUCAGCAGGGAAGAAAAUGACGGUACCUGACUAAGAAGCCCCGGCUAACGACGUGCCAGCAGCCGCGGUAAUACGUAGGGGGCAAGCGUUAUCCGGAUUUACUGGGUGUAAAGGGAGCGUAGACUGCAGCACAAGUCUGGAGUGAAAUCCCGGGGCUUAACCCCGGAACUGCUUUGGAAACUGUGCGGCUGGAGUGCAGGAGGGGUAAGCGGAAUUCCUAGUGUAGCGGUGAAAUGCGUAGAUAUUAGGAGGAACACCAGUGGCGAAGGCGGCUUGCUGGACAGUAACUGACGUUGAGGCUCGAAAGCGUGGGGAGCAAACAGGAUUAGAUACCCUGGUAU